rnacentral:rRNA from 1 species
UACGUAGGGGGCUAGCGUUGUCCGGAAUCAUUGGGCGUAAAGAGCGUGUAGGCGGCCCGGUAAGUCCGCUGUAAAAGUCAAAGGCUCAACCUUUGAAUGUCAGUGGAUACUGCCGGGCUAGAGUCCGGAAGAGGCGAGUGGAACUCCUGGUGUAGCGGUGGAAUGCGCAGAUAUCAGGAAGAACACCAACGGCGAAGGCAGCUCGCUAGGACGGUACUGACACUGAGGCACGAAGGCCAGGGGAGCAAACGGG